GAUGAAGAACGUAGUGAAAUGCGAUACGUAGUGUGAAUUGCAGAAUUCAGUGAAUCAUCGAAUCUUUGAACGCACAUUGCACCUCUCGGUAUUCCGGGAGGUAUGCCUGUUCGAGCGUCAUUUGUACCCUCAAGCUCUGCUUGGUGUUGGGUGUUUGUUCCGCCUCUGUGUGUGAACUCGCCUCAAAACAAUUGGCAGCCGGCGUACUUGUUUCGGAGCGCAGCACAUUUUGCGAUCCAGAUCAACGUACAGCGGCAUCCAAGAAGCCUUAUUUAACGCUCUUGACCUCGGAUCAGGUAGGGAUAACCGCUGAACUUAAGCAUAUCAAUAAGCGGAGGA
rnacentral:misc_RNA from 1 species